GACUCGAGGAGAAGGACCCCCGGUGUGCCGCCUGGAGAGGGCAGGUCGGCGUGCACCUCCCCGGUGUGAGAUCCCGGCGCUGCACAUCCCACUCGGCGCCCACCUGCCGGCUUCGUUCUAAGGCGAGAAGCACAGGCUACAAUUACGAUUAACUUGGGGACGCGGACCUCAGUCCUCCUGGUCACCACGUGAUGUUGAGCACAGAACGCGGGCUCUGAAAUCAGACAGACUCCAGUUGGAAUUGACCAGCAUUCAGUUGCAGAAGUGCUGGGAGAGCUGAAGAAAGAGGUCCCAGUGAGCCUCCAGGGACCAUCGCCUAAGCCACAGCCGUUGCCCUGGACUGCCGGGUUGGGGGGGGGGGCUGCUGGCUCGAGGACCUCAGUGCUGCUGUCCCCGUCACGAGGGAAACCAGCAAAAUUGGGAAGCAGCCACCGAUGCAGCUCCGGCCCUGUGUUUCGUCCUGAGCCUGUCAUCAGUGCGUCAAAUUAGUGGUGGUCUGCAACUGCCACCAAGUCCUCUGUCCCUUGAAUUCCCAUUAUCCUCCUGCUCUUCUAGUGCUGGAAAUAACACACCAGGAGUGUGGCCCCUGUCACUGGGAUCCCCAUUUGCUGCCACUGCCAUUUUCCCCAGGUGUGGGGCAGGACCACACACUGAGGGCUGCCGGGACCCCUACCCCACCCCCACCGGCGAAGGGUGCUCAUUGCCAGCCAGCCAGCGAGUGCUCCAGUCUAACACCCCAUCUUCGAGUCUGCUUCCUAGGACCACCUCCAGCGCUAGCUGGCUUAGACACAGAUCCCUGCAAACAGACUCGGAGAUGGAGAGCCGCGUGUCCGAAGUUUGGUGGGGAGGGUGUUGGAGGUUCCCAUAAGGAGGCGGGAGAAGCUGGCCUGUGAUGUAGCUGUCACGGGCCUUGGCCGACCCCCGGGCCCGUCCACAGGGCACCCCUACCUGCCGUACAUGCUUUAAGCACCUUCAGACCGACGGGCUUCUAUGGAUUCUGCAAGGAGCUCGGGAGCUGUAGGGCCCUUUCUCUUGUUCCAAACUGGAGCAAGGAGGCCGGUCAGCGGCCAUGGGCACCGUACCGUGGGUGGGGCAGCCCUGCUCCUGAUAGCAACUCCCAGGCAGGGACGUGGCGUCAGAGUCAGCCCCGCUGUCUCCAGCACCCGGUGCACAGGCCCUGAGGAGGGGUGCCACGGGACGCAGACACGUGAAGAUUGUACUUUAAGUACAGGAAAUGGCUGGACCGUGGGAAAAUGGUGGGUCUCGCUGUUUGUGUCCAGCUUCCUGUACUUACAGUGUUGAAGGCUUUUCCCCUUUGUGAACUUCUGGCUCUGCACUCGAGGAAUGGGCAUGAUCGUAAGAACACGUUGCCACUGCACGGAGCUGAAGCUGGAUCAGGUGAAACUCUGGAUGUGAGAGCCCGUGACAGAGUUGUGCAAACGUGAGGCAUCCCCAUUCAUACAGUCCCACCUGAAAGAAACGCAUGACAGACCUGAGUUCUAGGGCGGAGCUCAUGGAGGCUUAUGCCAGAGUUUUGGGCGGCUGGGUUUUAGGAGGAGGAGGAAGAGAGAGCACCUUGUUCCUGUGCUUCAAGCCAAGGAGGACUUGUAGGGAUAGGCCCCUAGAGGAAGGAGGACCCGUGGUGAAGAAAGGAAAGAGGGAAGAAGGAAGAGACGGAACGAGGGAGCACAGGAGGAGAGGGAAUCCAACCCUUGUUAAACUCAGUGCCAGGUGCUAAGCUUGGCCUCGUGUCUCCGUUCUCUCUCCCCAAGAGAGGUUGUUCUGUUAGGGGAGUCUGGGCAGCAAGUGAAAGAAAAUCCAAGUCAAACUAUCUUAGGCGAACGUGAACUCAAACUAACUUAACUAAGCCAAACAAACCAACAAAAACCAAAGCACAAGGAAUGUAUGGCCCCAAAACCAGAAGGAAGGGCUGCCUUCGAGAAGCCCUUGAUUCUGAGACUUAACUGGUGUCUCCAAGCCCCAGUUUCUCUGUUUUUUCUCUCACAGCUCGGCCUCCCACAUCACUGGCUUUGCUCCCCGUGUCUACGUGUCGGCCAAGAUGGCCGAGCUCAGGCUUUCCUUCUCAGCCUCCACCCACUGGGUGGGGGAGGACCUGUUUCUCUUCGUCCCCCAUUCCUGCCCAGACCUCACCCCUCAGCACCUCUCAUGGGCCACACUUCCUCCCUGACCCCGAACCCACACCCGGAAGAUCCUGAUGUUCUUGAGGACCCAGGGUCUAUGCAGAGCACGUGGACUGAAAGCUGCCAACAGAUGGUCCUUGAGCGGUGGAGAGGGUUGGGGGGGUAGUUAUGAAGACGGUCAAGUGCACAGACACUGAGCAGCAAAACCUGCACGUGACACCUGAGGCCUUCACCACCUUGUAGAGGGGAGAAGUCGAGUGCCGGGCAAGACUGGAUGACUUGUUCAAGGGUCACAUGCUCUCUUAAUUGUGCGAGGGGAUGCGUGAUUGAGACACGGCCAGAAAGCGGUGGCUCUGGAGGCGGAGACUUGGGCCACAUGACUCUGAAGGCUGCAUUUCUCUUGCAGGGCUAUUCGCCAACUGUGUACCUCAGCUGAACCGCCUCACCGUCGUCUCCUCACCCAGCUCUGACGGUCGACAACUCUACCAUGAAGACACGAAUUUCCAGCACAACUAUUGCCAAGUGCCUUGUUCUGUUUCUUUUGAGUAUUUGUUUCAAGGGAGAAUAAGCACAGCUCUGCUCGGACAUCACCGUGCCGCUCAGGUUCCCUCUGGCUGACUGACUCAGGUGUCACGUGUGGGUUUUGCUGCCCAGUGGGCCCCAUUCCCCAGCCUGCGCGGAUCGCGGCUGCCCCGGGCCCGGGCCAAAUCCGCUUCCUCCUUCACCCCGCUCUCCCCAGUUACCCUUGUUCCGUGCUUUGCCGUAAAACAAAUGCUUCUUUCCACUGUAUUGACCCCAAAUAUUUCAUCCAUUCACUGUCCCUGAAAGCCAAGUGUUUUUUUUCCAGGCCGGCUACAAACAAAAGCUAUUUUGUGAAGCUGUGAGGGCAGGGAGCCAGAUUACCUUUCACUGGUCGUUUUCUGUUUGUAAAAUGGCAGUGUCUUCUGGAAGCAUGAUACGGCAGCAAAUAAUUGCAUCAAUGUAAGAAGGAAUCUGUUGUCCUUUUUAUCUGUGUUUGCAUCUAGUUUGGCCCAUCCUUUGUCACUGUAUUUAUAGAGUUUUAGUGUUGCGUAAUUAUUAUUUGAUAUUUUGGUUUGGUUUUGGUUUUUUUUUUUUUUUUGCUUACUUCGAUGAUUUUUUUUCAUGCCAUUAACCUGGAUGUCCCUGUUUUAAUUGCUGCUUUAUGCUCAGCGAAUAUUUGUUCAUUCAACAAACAUUUAUUUAAAAACUACUUAACUAUUCCUCUGUGGGUUUCUCCCAGAUUUUAUUAUUAUAAGUAAAGGAAUGAAUAUCUCUAUGCAUA